rnacentral:rRNA from 1 species
GUGGGGAAUAUUGGACAAUGGGCGAAAGCCUGAUCCAGCCAUGCCGCGUGUGUGAAGAAGGCCUUUUGGUUGUAAAGCACUUUAAGCGAGGAGGAGGCUACCGAGAUUAAUACCCUUGGAUAGUGGACGUUACUCGCAGAAUAAGCACCGGCUAACUCUGUGCCAGCAGCCGCGGUAAUACAGAGGGUGCGAGCGUUAAUCGGAUUUACUGGGCGUAAAGCGUGCGUAGGCGGCUUUUUAAGUCGGAUGUGAAAUCCCUGAGCUUAACUUAGGAAUUGCAUUCGAUACUGGGAAGCUAGAGUAUGGGAGAGGAUGGUAGAAUUCCAGGUGUAGCGGUGAAAUGCGUAGAGAUCUGGAGGAAUACCGAUGGCGAAGGCAGCCAUCUGGCCUAAUACUGACGCUGAGGUACGAAAGCAUGGGGAGCAAACAGGAUUAGAAACCCGGGUAGUCC